GUCCGAUCAGUUCAACUGGAGAGAAUGUCUGCCUACGGAGCCGAUGGCCGUAGAGUCGAAUCCUGUAUUGGGUA